UCACUUAUUCAUUUAACAGAAUUUUUAAUCACCUAUCAUAUAUCAGGCACUUGUAGGAGAACAAAAGCAAUUAGAGUCAACAUUUAAGGCACUUAUUGGCCAGCAGGGGAAAGGGUGAGACUUGCACAUAAACAACAUCUAGAAAGUAGUAAUUUAGUUGGAAAAUAUGAGGUGGCCUAAUUGUUCAGAUGUGCCGCCCAGAGUCAUUUUCUCUUUGAACACAGGCAGAUAGAUUACAUUUCCUACAUGCCAGUGAUCCUGUUUUUCUCGUCCUUCAUUUCCCCCAUGUCCUCCAAGUAAAAGUCGUAGUCCCUGUGCUUGGUACAUGAGGUGUCCCACCAUCUGGCCCCUCCUCACUCCUGACCCUCAUCUUUUAGACCCCUCCAUCUCCAUCCCACAGCCUCUGCACAGACACCUGAACUCCUGAGCAGAGCGAGCUGUUCAUCCUGCUUUCCUUCUGCCUGGAUUCCUCCCAUGACACUGAUGUCUGAAUAUCUGCUCACUGCUCCAGCACCACCUCUGUGAAGCCUCCCCUGGUUCCUUUCUGUCUCAUUGUUUGUGCCUUGAAGUCUACCUCUGGAGCCAGACUGACCAUUUCCUCUAUUGCUGUAUCACAGUCCCAACCAGCAGUCUUAGGAAGAUUGUUUUCAAACAGACUCCGGAACCUUGACCUCUCCAGCCCAGUUCAUUGCUCACGGUGACCAAGACAUGGAAACAACCAAAGUGUCCUGUGAUCGAGGACUGGAUGAGGAAGAUGUGGUUCAUAUGCACAGUGGAAUUCUACUCAGCCAUUAGAAAGGAUGAAAUAGUGCCAUUUGCAACCACAUGGAUG